rnacentral:rRNA from 1 species
CCUACGGGAGGCUGCAGUGGGGAAUAUUGCACAAUGGGGGGAACCCUGAUCCAGCCAUGCCGCGUGUGUGAAGAAGGCCCUCGGGUUGUAAAGCACUUUCAGUGAGGAAGAACGCCUGGUGGUUAAUACCCAUCAGGAAAGACAUCACUCACAGAAGAAGCACCGGCUAACUCCGUGCCAGCAGCCGCGGUAAUACGGAGGGUGCGAGCGUUAAUCGGAAUUACUGGGCGUAAAGCGCGCGCAGGUGGCUUGAUAAGUCGGUUGUGAAAGCCCCGGGCUCAACCUGGGAACGGCAUCCGGAACUGUCAAGCUAGAGUGUAGGAGAGGAAGGUAGAAUUCCCGGUGUAGCGGUGAAAUGCGUAGAGAUCGGGAGGAAUACCAGUGGCGAAGGCGGCCUUCUGGACUGAGACUGACACUGAGGUGCGAAAGCGUGGGUAGCAAACAGGAUUAGAUACCCUAGUAGUC